AAUUAGUGAUCAGCUGAGAAAACAAAGAAUAAAAAGUAAAUUACCAGCUGCUUGUAUCCAAUAUUUUUCAACAUUCGCAAAACUUAAAAAUACUACUUUAAUACUCGAUUAUUAUCUGGAAAGAAAAGGAAGAACAAGUAACAUCCUAAGCAAUGGAAUCUCCUUAUGCCCCUUUGAGCGAGAGCUGCGCAAAAGCUCUUGCUGAUAAAGCUUAUGAAAAACGUAAGGUAGCAUCACAGGAAAUAGAAAAAAUGGUGACGGACUUCAAUAUGAAGAAAAACACAAUACAGAUAAGAAAACUUAUAGAAGUUCUUUCCAACGAUUUUGCGACAUCUCGAGAUCCUAAUCGACGUAAGGGUGGCUUAAUAGGCUUAGCCGCAACUAGCCUUGGAUUAGGGAAGGAUUCUGAAAGUUAUGUAAGUGAAUUGGUUACACCAAUUGUCAACUGCCUUAGUGACCCUGAUGUUCGAGUUCGCUAUUUUGCCUGCGAAUCUUUGUACAAUGUAGUAAAAGUAGCAAGGGCUGCUAUCAUACCAUUUUUCCCAGAACUGUUUUCUGCAUUAUCGCGAUUGGUAGCGGAUUCUGAUCAAAUGGUCAAGGAUGGCAGUGAAUUGCUUGAUCGGCUGUUGAAGGAUAUUGUAACGGAGUCUUCACAAACUUUUAACUUAGAGGCAUUUAUACCUCUUCUCAAAGAACGUAUUUACGCCAAAAAUUCGUUUGCUAGGCAAUACGUUAUAUCAUGGAUUUCAAUUUUAAAUGCGGUACCAGAAAUAAAUAUGCUGAUUUAUUUAACUGAUAUUUUGGAUGGACUCUUUACAAUGUUAGAAGAUAACACAUUAGAAAUUCAGCGAAUGUGCGAAACCACACUUAGCCAGUUUUUGAAAACCAUUAAAAGUGAUUCAUCUUCUGUGCGAAUGGAAGACACAAUAAAUAUUCUUAUAAUUCAUGCUCAAUCUCCGAACGAACUAAUAAAAUCUAUUGCUAUAACUUGGAUACGUGAAUUUGUACAAAUUUUUGGACCAAAUGUAUUACCUCACGCGAGCGGAAUAUUUACUGCAAUUUUACCAUGUCUGGAAUACAAUGUAGAUUCAAAAAAAAACAUAAAGGAAUGUGCGGUUUCGGUGAACAACUCCAUCAUGUCAUUAAUAUCAUCCUCGGAACAUAAAUCCCAAAAUAUAGAAAAAAUUGAUUUACGUUCCGUUAUGGAAGUGUUAUCCCAGUAUUUAACACAUAAUUCAGUGCACACGAAAAUUGCAGUUCUAAAAUGGAUUCAUCAUCUCUUUACACAUUUUCCCAGCGAGAUGUCACCACAUGCCAGCAAUUUAGGUGCAAAUUUGCUGGGCAUAUUGUCGGAUAAUUCAGAUGAAGUUGUGCUGCAGUGCUUAUCUGUUUUGGCGGAAAUCUUAAAUUCAACAUAUAAUAAAGAUUCUAACGACUUUAACAAGGUACAUUAUCGGAAAUUUCUACUGAGUUUAAUCAAUUUGUUUGGCGAAGAAAAGAAGUUUUUGGAUAAUCGUGCCAGCCUUAUAAUUAGGCAGUUGUGUGUUUUGCUGAAUGCGGAAUAUAUAUAUCGAACAUUUUCGGAAAUCAUUGAUGAAGAAGUUAUUAAAUUUGCGUCGACUAUGGUGCGCUUACUUAAUAUGAUAUUACUAACAUCACCAGAAUUGUUUGAAUUGCGGAAUGCGUUACGGGACAUCACAAAUGAGCAUUCUGCCAGUUUAUUCAAAUGCCUUUACAGAAGUUGGGCUCAUUGUCCAGUCUCCACACUGUGUCUAUGUUUAUUAACACAAAGUUAUCAACAUGUUUCCCAACUUGUAGUAUUAUUGCGCGUAUAGUGGUCGCUUCUUGCCAGAGAUUUUCCCGCCCUGCAAGUGUAUUUCUGACAUGAUUUAAAAGCUCCUCAUAAAAAUGAGUUGACCAUUCGAAUGGGGCUUAGAAUAAACUGUAAGUUCCUAGAGGAAACAUCAAAACCUACAUCACAAAUGGGAAUAAUUGUGCCCGUAAAUUCAUACUGUUAGGAAAAAUAUGCAUAUAUCAAUACAGUAAAAAUGAUCACGAUGAUGAUAUUUAAAACGCCGACGUGGAGAUUACCUUGGAACUAUUAAAUGAACUAGACAAACUAGUACAGCUAAUAGAAUCACCGAUAUUUGCAU
rnacentral:misc_RNA from 1 species